AACAGCGUGCGUGGUUUUUGUAUGUGCUUGGCGUGCAUUUGUGGAAAGGUGUGUACUGGUUAGGAACUGUUUUCAACAGGGCUGGAGAUGUGAUGUGAGGCUUUCUAUGUAUGUGUAGGUGCAUACAGGAAUUGGUAUGGACGUAUAUUUAUGUAUAUAUAAAUUAUACAUAUAUAUGCAGUAGUACCACAGUAUCACGGAAGAUAGUGCUGAAGGAAUCUGGAGAGUGAGGCCAACAGGAUUCAGCAGAGCGUGGCCCUGCAUAUGGCUGGCUGAACUCAUCUCUGUAGCUGUAAGACUGCGUGUAGCUGGCGUGAGGAAAGAAUAUCUUUAGCUGCAAGUGCUGACACUAACCGGCCCCAUCGGAUCCAUACAGAAGUUACAUAUAUAAAUCCUCCGGCGUCUGCAGGAGAACAAAUCUAGAAGGCCUCUGCUUUGCUGUUAUUCUGCAUGAAGGAUUCUCCUUGGCUUGAACAGGAAUUCUGUGCAUGGAGCUGUAGAAAAACUAAGCCUGUAAAAUAUUGGUAACCUUGACUCUAAUUUCAGAUUGAAAAUUAUAUAAUGAACAUUUAUAAGUAGUUUAUACCUAGAAAGAAGACUGGCGUUCUAUCUGCCUGCCGUAUAUUCUUUAAUAAACAUGUAAGAGUUUAGAGACUGUUGACAUUGCAGACAGAGUUGAUAACCUGGUUUAGAGACGUAUUUCUGGAUAUGCAACUAAAGUAUACUGAUGGCUUUCAGAUGCCCUAUGCUGAGGUUAUAAAAGCACAGGUAGGUUAGGAAAUUUUGGUGGCGAGUGUUUAAUGUUGAAGAAAAGACAGGCAAAAAUGGAACUUAAAUAUAUCUGAUGAACACAAAUAUCACAGCUGAGAUUUAAUUUUGACUGCAUUAUUAAUUUGUCUCAGAGUGUUCAAGGUAGCCUAGUAAAAUAUUUCAGACUUUUGUUUGCAUUAUUUAAUGUUAGACAUUGAUCGGAAGCUGGGGGUGGUUAAAGAAAGUGGGUGGAAGAGAUUAUUGGACUAGUUUCAGGCUAUUUUGUUUCAGCUAGAUAUUUGGUAUGCAUGAACAUAGCUAGACCCUUUUGCUAUCUAUUUCGCUCUGUACUCCACUCUCAAAUGAUUUAUAAUGUUUGAAUCCCUUCCCCUGUUUAGCCCAGUGCAGUAUUACAGCAAAGAAUAUAUCGGUGCUGAUUUUGAAUAGCAUUUCACAACCAGCUCUGUUGCUUGCUUCUUUUUCUGUAUGGGCAUUGCGUAUCACUUGGAGAAUGAUGAACUAAAAGUAAUGAGUGGUGAUGUGGUGUUGCUGUAAUUUUUUGUGCAGCUUGAAAUGCAGAUCUGGGCUGACCUGGAUCAGGGUAUGUGAUAAAAAGCUCACCCCACCCCCCCCUCCCAGAAGAGCACAGAGACAUGAGCCCCUGCCCCGACCUCCCCAGGGCUGUCCCAGGAGAGCAUCAGCCCCAGAGGCCAGGUGAGACCCAGCACCAUGAGUCCCUGGGGGGGGUGUUCUCCGGGGCACCACACAGACUGGGGGGUCCCUGCCCUGGGGGACAGUGCUCAUUAUGGGAUGCAGGGAAAGAGCAUGCUGGGAUUGUGUGAGACUUAUUAUGGGAUGUUUAGGGGAGGAACCAAAGGUGGGGAAAUGAAGAGAUCAGGGUGGUUUUGGGAGGAACAAAUGUGCAAAAAUGGAGAGAUAAGAAGAUAAAGGGGAGUAGUCACCUGUUGACAAUUUGCUGGUCGGUACCUUGUCUGCAUUUCAGAUGGUGGGCUACAUUUUUCAGCACUAUGCAUCUAUAGUUUGCUUAGUUUGAUGCUCUUGAAUGUUCUGCUGCUUACCUAUUUAUUGUUUUGAUGGGUAGCAAAAUUUGUUGGCAUGGUAUGUACACUACUUCUGAUUCUAAACUGUUCUGUGAUUAUUGUUUUUUACAUGAAAAUAUAGAAUGUAUAACAUUACCCAUUGGCAUGAAUGGACUAAAUGAACUAUUGUUUUAAGGCCUCCAAUUUCAGUUAUUAAGAAUUAAGUACUUCAAUAAAUAGAACAUACAGUAUUACUAUCCAGAGGCACUAAUUUUUUAUUUUGCAUACUGUGCCAAUUUAUCACAUAUAAACAAUUUCUGUCAUCAAGUUCCUGUGAUUUUUUUCCUCUGAUGUAUUUUUAUUGCCUUAGGAAUUCCAGUUUCCUAUGAAGGUGUUAGCUACCUUUCUGAAACAGUAAUCAGUUGCAUUUUUUAUUUCAGACAUAGUGUCUAUCCAUAUAUGUGUUUGUCAUUAUUAUAGAAACAAAGAAAAAUGGACUGUAGUGUAUUGUCUUACUGAAUGUAUGACUGUAUGCAUCUCAGUCUAUUUGUCUUUUUAAGAAAAUUGUUUCAUUUAUAAGCAAGCAGUUUCUUGUCUAAAAUCCUAAUAGCCUCUGGCAAAAGUAUUUUAGAGAUACAAUAAGUGGCAUCAAAAUAUUUUAUACUAAAUGAGAAAUAAGAUUUGCACUAGAAACAUUGAAGGGCUACAAGUAAAGAAAAUAAUGAGAUCCUUGAAUAUUGAAUAUGUUGAAAAAUUGACAAUGAACUUGGGUGAGUGUAAAAGAAUCUUUAGUAGCUCUACAAUCAUUAAAUGGAGCAAGUUCAAUUUAAUUGUAGAUAUUUCAGAGUUAUUUCAAGAAAACAUUGGAAAUAAUGUCAAAUAUUUGAAAAGCUACUCAAAAUAAUUCAUUUGAUUUCAUCACAGUAAAAUGUUGGAAUAUGUCUAGACUAAGAUGGAAAAUAAAGAGCAAAAUACAAUAUA